CCUACGGGAGGCAGCAGUGGGGAAUAUUGCACAAUGGGGGGAACCCUGAUGCAGCGACGCCGCGUGGGUGAAGGAGUAUUUCGGUAUGUAAAGCCCUAUCAGCAGGGAAGAACAAUGACGGUACCUGACUAAGAAGCACCGGCUAAAUACGUGCCAGCAGCCGCGGUAAUACGUAUGGUGCAAGCGUUAUCCGGAUUUACUGGGUGUAAAGGGAGCGCAGGCGGCGCGUUAAGCCUGGUGUGAAAGUCCGCGGCCCAACCGCGGGACUGCAUUGGGAACUGGCGCGCUGGAGUGCCGGAGGGGUAGGCGGAAGUCCUAGUGUAGCGGUGAAAUGCGUAGAUAUUAGGAGGAACACCAGUGGCGAAGGCGGCCUACUGGACGGUGACUGACGCUGAGGCUCGAAAGCGUGGGGAGCAAACAGGAUUAGAUACCCCAGUAGUC
rnacentral:rRNA from 1 species